UACAGAGGAGCCAAGCGUUGUCCGGAUUGACUGGGCGUAAAGCGCACGCAGGCGGACGCGCGCGUGGGGUGUGAAAUCUGGCCGCUUAACGGCCAGGCGCCAUCCCAUACGGCGCGUCUGGAGCAAUGCAGAGGUCGGGUGGAAUUGCCGGUGUAGUGGUGAAAUGCGUAGAGAUCGGCAGGAACACCCAGGGGGAAACCAGCCGAACUGG
rnacentral:rRNA from 1 species